CAUUUCUGGGAGGACCGCUCUCUCGGCGCUCCCUCCGCUGCCGCCGCCGCUCCGUCGGCCGCUCGGAGCCGUUACGGGACCGUUCCCGGAGAGCGGAGGGGAGCGCCGCGAAUUCACGCGCCGGGGGUGGAACGGCAACGGCGGAACGCGACGAACGGGCGUUACUACCGGCUCCGGCCGUUGUUACGGGAAAAGCUGCGAUAAAACUCCGGCGGGGGCUUUUCUCGACGGGGUCCCGCUCAACUUUUCCCGAGAAGUCGACGUCGUUUAAAAGAGGCGCUGAAGAACAUAAUCUUGAAUUUACAGAAGUCCGUGGCAAAAUCUGGUUGUGAAUGGGGGCUUUGUUCUGCGAGACUAUUUCUGAAGACUCCUGGCUCUCUGUCUGCCUUUGUGUACAAGGCUGACACACGGGCCCAUCCACCCGCGCUGUGCCCAGCAGCACACCCUCUCUUUCCAGCUGCCCUCUUGCAGGGAUGCACACAGCUCUCCGGUGGGUGGGCUGUAUCCCAUCACCGUGGCAAACCUGUGGGGCUGUGAUAGUUUAUAAAACCUGACAGCAUGGUCCAUUGCAUGUACUUUUUCUAAAUCCAUAUUUUUCCAAUUUUUUUUUUUUUCCUGUAGUGGCAAGUUUUUUUUCUGUCCAUCUGGGAGCAGAAUCCUGUGCUCAGCGUAUGUAAAUAACAGCUGUUUCCACUCAAUUGCAUUUAUGUACUUAACACUUCAAAAUAGACUUUUUUCUAGAAGUUUCACAAUCUAGUCACCAUCCGUGCUUAGACUGAGGUACUGGGGGAGAGAUUAAUGAAACCCCUCCGGAGUGGCUGACAAAAGUAUACAGCUGUAGCUCUGGAAUCCCUGCACAGGAUGGAUCGCUGAUGCUGACGGCCGUGCUUCAAUGCACUGUGAAGGCAACUUCACUCCUUAGGCACCCUCAGCCUUCACAGGCUGUGCCCCAGCCACGGUCACCGUGUCACCUUUCAGCCACACCAGUGGCUUCAUUGGGCUCAUUUCAAGUCUUUUUCUUCUUAAACAAUAUACAAUAUAAUAUAAUAAUAUACAAUAU
rnacentral:lncRNA from 7 species